UUCCCAGAGCUGCAUUCAUUUCAGCUGAUCUAUUUCAUUUCGUUUGCAAAGGAGUGACACAAAACCUCCUUUGUUAAGGGGAGAAUUUAGAGUGGCUUCAACGGUUAACAAAUAGCCUAAUGUAAGACUUAAUCAAUUUCCUGCCCGGUUGCUUACCACUACUUAUCACUUUAACGUAUGAAACCUAAUCAAGAUUCCUUUGAUGAUUUUUCUAUUUGCUAAUUGAUUGAUAAGCUCUUCAGUGAAGAUAUAGUGUCCGCAAGCCAUAUGUUGAUAGAGUUAGAGUUUGCAGAAGCUACUGUACCAUAUGUUGUUAGAGGCGGUAAAAACGGAGGCAGAUCAACACACAUUUAAAUUUCAAUGACAAUUUACUGGAAAUAAAUUUCCUAUGACCCUACAUGUGACUAAUUGAUGAGAACUUGACAAUGACAAAAGAAAGUGUAUGAGCUUUGCAGGCUGGCUUGCCAAUAUUGACUGUAUGGCACCAUCCGCAAGUAAGUAUCAUUACUGUUUAAUCAACUUGGUGGAGUCCACUGGGACCACCCCACAUGGUCAGUCUUAUCUCUACUCCUAAAUUUUCAAUAUUCCAUACAUCAAACCAAUUGCAGUUUUGAUAUCAAAUUCAAUUUUAUUGUUGGUGACGAUUCUGAUUCCUUUCAUUCUCACAAAACGGAACCAUGGUUGCUGUUGGAGAGAUCUUACUCAACGCCUUCCUUGAGGUGUUGUUUGACAGGUUGGCUUCUCGUAAUUUGCUCCGCUUUGUGCGUCAACUCCAAGGCGGGGUUGAUUCGGAGCUCAAGAAGUGGGAGAAAAAGCUGAAGAUGAUUCAGGCUGUGCUCUGCGAUGCAGAGGAGAAACAACUGACCGAUGAGGCUGUGAAGAUGUGGCUGGACGAACUCCAAGACUUAGCUUAUGACGCUGAGGACAUUCUUGAUGAGUUUGCUACUCAAGCUUUGGAAAGCAAGUUGAUGGCGCAAAACCAGGAUAGCUCUGGCCAGGUUCUCAGUCUCAUCCCGGCUAGUUUGAAUCCGAAUGCUAUUAUGUUCAAUUAUAGCAUGGGGUCCAAGAUUAAAGAUAUGACUAGCCGGCUGGAGCAACUCUGCCAAGAAAGAAUUGAACUUGGACUGCAACGGCUUACUGGAGGGGCGUCAUCAACCGCUGCUGCUGCACACCGGAGGCCACCCAGUUCGAGUGUCCGAACAGAACGUGAAGUAUUUGGAAGAGAAGAAGAUAAGGCCAAAAUUCUUGAUAUGGUCAAUACCCCAAGUGAUCACGCCAACUUUGUUGUAAUACCUAUUGUUGGAAUGGGCGGGAUAGGAAAAACAACUCUUGCUCGGGAGGUCUACAAUGACAAGGCAGUUGAGGAUUCCAAGUUUGACGUAAAAGCAUGGGUUUGUGUCUCCGACAACUUUGAUGUUUUCAACAUUUCAAAGGCACUUCUCGAGUCAAUCACCUCCGCAGCUAGUGAUCUCAAGACUUUAAAUGAAGUGCAGGUUCAACUGAAAAAAGCAGUGGACGGAAAAAGAUUCUUGCUGGUCUUAGAUGAUGUUUGGAACGAGGACUACAGCUUGUGGGUAGACUUAAAAGCUCCGUUCCUGGGUGCUGCACCAAACAGUAAGAUGAUCGUCACCACACGCAAUUUAAACGUUGCAUCAACAAUGGGACCAAUUGAACAUUAUAAUCUCAAGAGUCUGUUAGAUGAUGAUUGCUGGUCCAUUUUCAUACAGCAUGCAUUUGAAGGUAGAGAUCUUAACGCAUAUCAAAUUUCAGAAUCAUUCAGCAAGAAAGUUGUUGGCAAGUGUGGGGGCUUGCCUCUGGCAGCAAAAACGCUCGGGGGCCUUCUGCGCACAACAAGGCAUGAUGCGUGGGACGAUAUAUUGGAUAGCAAAAUAUGGGAUUUACAUCAACAAAGCAGCAUUCUCCCUGUGUUAAGAUUGAGUUACCAUCAUCUUCCGUCUCAUUUGAAAAGAUGUUUUGCUUUUUGUGCCAUCUUUCCAAAAGAUUAUGAAUUCACUGAGAAGGGGCUAACUUUCUUGUGGAUGGCUGGAGGUAUUAUUCGACAGUCAAGAAACAGUGAGCAGCUGGAAGAUUUGGGCAGCAAGUGCUUUCAUGAUCUAGUGUCAAGGUCUAUUUUUCAACAAACCAGCUCUGGUAGUUCUAAAUUUGUAAUGCACGACCUUAUCCAUGAUUUUGCUGAAUUGGUUUCUGGAGAGACCAUUUUAAGGUUAGAGGAAUCCACCAACUUGUCGUCAAGGAGAUUUGAAAGAGUUCGCCAUUCUUCCUAUGCCCGUGGUUGGCUUGAUGGUAAAAAUAAGUUUGAGGUUUUCUAUGAAAUUGAACAUCUGCGAACAUUCUUGCCAUUCUGCAUAAGAGGUGGCCCUAAUACUAGUUACGUAACUAGUUUACUUCUAUAUGAUUUGUUGCCGAAGUUUAAAAAGUUGAGGAUGCUAUCUUUAGAAGGAUACCAGAUUGGUGAGUUACCAAUUCCAUUUGAAGAUUUGAGACCUUUAAGGUUCCUCAACCUUGCCGACACUGACAUAAGAAGUUUACCCGAGUCAACAUGCAAAUUGCUGAACUUGGAAAUUUUGAUAUUACGAAAUUGUUCCCGUUUGAUAAAGCUUCCGCCCAAAAUGAGGAAUUUGAUCAAUUUACGCCAUCUCGAUAUAAAAGGUGCAAAGCUGCUGAAGGAGAUGCCAUUGGGAAUGAAAGCGUUGAGGAGUCUUCAAACAUUGUCCAAUUUUAUUGUAGGCAAGGGUGAAUCUGCAUCUGGUUUGGAAGAUUUAAAAAGUUUAAACUUUCUUUGUGAUGAACUCUGCAUUGCUGGAUUAGAGAGUGUGAAUAGUCCACAGAAUGCAAGAGAAACCGCAUUAUGCGAGAAGCACAAUCUUGAAGCAUUGACUCUAGAAUGGGGGUCUCAAUCUAACAGUCCUCGGGAUGCAGUACUAGAGGAGAAUGUACUUGACACUCUACAGCCUCAUAAACGUAUAAAAGAGCUGGCAAUCAGGCACUAUGGUGGUGCAAGAUUUCCACUUUGGAUCGGACAUCCUUCGUUCUCCGAGAUGAAGGUCCUUAAAUUGGAGAACUGUGACAAGUGUGUAUCUCUGCCAUCGCUUGGCCUGAUGAAUUCACUUAAGCACCUUGCUGUUAAAGGGCUGAAGAAACUAAAAAGCAUAGAGUCUGCGGUCUUUCCAUCAUUGGAGAUUCUAAGUUUUGAGAAUUUGCCAGAAUGGGAGCAUUGGGACACCAAUAUCAAUGGAAAUGUGCACGUUGAAAUAUUUCCUCAUCUCCAAGAACUUUCCAUUGCAGAAUGUCCCAAACUCUCUGGAGAACUGCCUGAGCUCCUGCCCUCCUUGGAGACACUUGUCGUUAGUAAAUGUGAACAGUUGGCAGUUCCAUUGUCUUGCUAUCCGAUGCUCUGCAGAUUAGAAGUUGAUGAGUGCAAAGAACUCGUGUGCGGGACUCCAAUUAAUUUUAAGUUGGUAAAGUCUUUGACCAUUUCAAAUAGUUCAUUAGACAUGAAUGGAUGCAAUGGGAUGCUAUACCAUGGUCCAGCUGGCUCUUCACUGUCUAAACGCAUGACUAUUACAAAUGUUUUGGAGUUUGGAAAAUUAUUGAAGCCUGGAUUUCAGAUAUUAGAAUAUUUGGUAAUUGGCAAUUCUGAACAGCUCAAGUCAUGGAGGCGGGCCAGGAGACCUAGACGUUUUAAUGAACCAGAACACGGGCUAAAAAUUCUCGCUUCCCCUGAAGAGGUAACAAUUGAAGAAAGUUGCGUAAAUCUUGUUUUGUUUGCAGAGAUCAAUUUCUUUCCCAGAAAUCUGCGCUCUCUUCUAAUUUUCAAUAACAUACCUUUAAAAUCCUUACCCGAGGAAAUGAUGGACAACAAUUCACAACUGGAAAGCUUGUGCAUCAGAAAUUGCGAUUCUCUAACAUUCAUCACAAGACACAAGCUACCUUCAUCUCUAAAAAGUAUAGCAAUUAAGAAUUGUGAGAAAUUGCAACGUCCGUUCGAUGAUGAAGAGGAUGCUUCUUCUUCUUCUUCUCCUUCAUCCUCGUCUUCCCCAGUGAUGCUGCAAUGCCUGACUAUAGAGAACUGCCCAGAGCUCACCAGUUUAUCAUCGGGAAUCCAAUUCCUUGAGGCGCUUGAAGUACUCGAGCUAAGGGAUUGUCGAAAGCUGGAGUCAUUACCGGAUGGCCUGCAAAAUCUUAACUGUUUACAGAGCAUUCAUAUAGAUGGAUGUCCAAGUCUUGUUUCCUUCCCAGAAAGAGGGCUUCCCAACACCAUUUCGAGAGUUUACAUUCGUGGUUGUGAGAAGCUUGAAGCCCUGCCCAACGACAUGCACAAACUCAACUCUCUCGAAACUUUAAACAUACGGAAAUGUCCAAAUCUUGUAUCGUUUCCAGAGGAAGGUUUUCCUACCAGUCUAGUAUCACUUACAAUUGGAUAUGUCAAAAUGUAUAAGACACUCGUCCAGUGGGGGUUGCAUAGGCUUACCUCUCUUACACACCUCGAGAUUAUUGGAUGUGAUGAUGAAGCAGAGUGUUUUCCAGACGAGGAGAUAGGAAUGAUGCUGCCCACCUCUCUCACUCAUCUGCAACUUUCGGAAUUCAAAAAAUUGAUAUCUCUCUCUUCGACGGGUUUUCAGAGCCUCAACUCUCUUCAAUCUUUGUGGAUAUUGGGUUGCCCAAAUCUCACAUCAUUCCCAGAGGUGGGCCUUCCAUCCUCACUUUUGGAAUUACACAUUGUCAAGUGUCCAAAGCUUAAAGAAGUUUGCAAAAGAGACCAAGGAGAAGAGUGGCCCAAAAUUGCUCACAUCCCUUGUUUUGAGAUAGACUGGAAAUUCAUAUACGAUCCAGAAUCAGAGGAGUAGAUUCUCCUAUUAAGGUCAGUUGAUUUUUUAUUAUCCGUUAUAACAAGCUCCUCCUUUUUUAUUUUUUUAAUAAUAAUUUAGCAGUUCUAUAUAAUUAUAAAUCCUCCGCCCUUAAUUGAAAAUGUCACUCAUUUGAUUCCAUUUUCACAAGUCAGAUCGUAUGUUGAGGUUAUUUGCAUUUUAUCGGUGUUUAUUAAGGUAAUUAGUGCGUUAUAGGUUGAUUACUCACAGAUUAAGUUAUAACAUUUAUCUUAAAAUUUAAUGUCAUAGACAGAGAUGAUUUUUUAAUCCAAAGUUUUCUUGAUUCACUUCAAUUAGCAUUUUCUUUUCCCCAGAUCAGGCACGCGGAGAGUUCCAAUCAAGAAUUGGAGCAUGUGAAUGGGAUUUUUGUGAAAACAUAAUGAUGCAGGAACUGGGAUCUCAAAGUCAACAGAAUUUUAUUUACUCAUUGACUUUUCAACUCCUGUGGUUAUUUAUGGGUGAAAGAAAGAUAAGGGCAAUUUCAAGAAAUUUGCAAACUCUGUCAAUUUCUUUUAAUUGUACCAAUUUGUCGUUUAUGCUUUGGUUUUAUUUUUUCAGUUUUGUUUAUUGCUUAGAUGGUAGCAUACUUGAAAUGAUACAUAGCCUUCACCGGCAGAAUUCUAGUCUUGGCUUUCACCUCUCUAACUCAUCUCAUCUGUUCCUAUUGGGAUUCCAGAAAUUGAAAUUUCUGUCAUCAAUGGGUUUCAAAGCCUCACCGCUCUCCGAUUUUUGUGGAUCGGGAAUUGCACAAAUCUCACAUCAUUUCCAGAGGUGGGCCUUCCAUCCUUGCUUUUUGGAAUUACAAAUUGGAAAAUGCUACUUUCCCCGGGUCAAAUCCCAGGUCAAACCCCGAAUUAAACCAAAACGACACCGUUUUGGUUUCUUUUUUUUGUCCUUUUUGCUUCCAUGAAACGUGGUCGUUUCAGCCAAACAAAAGCAAAUGUCUUCGUUUUUUACUUCCUCUCCUCUUCGAUUCUCCUCUUCGUUUUACCAACAGACCAACAGAGCACAAAUUGCAGAAGUCACUUGCACAUCAAUUCAUCACAAAAUGCAGAGUUUUACUAAAGAAAAAAACGAUGCCGUUUUUCUUGCCAAAUAUUUUCCAUUUCCUUCGUUCAUGGAGCUCCUGCCACCGCCAAAGCCAAAUAUUUCCCCUUUCAUUUCCUUCGUCAAUCAAGCUCCAGCCACUUGCUUCGUCGAUCGAGCUCUAGCCACAGCCAUUCGCAAAUCGCAGUCCACAAUCCGCGCCUGAAAUUGUCAUUCACAAUCCACAACUCACAACCAUGACUUCACACAGAGAACGACUCCCACAGCCUUCACGCGACAGCGAGAUCGAGCUCUUUAACAUUCGAAGAACAUAUCUGGUUGCGAAAGUUGAUUUUUAAUUUGCUUGCGAGCUGAGAUGCUUCGAAUUCUCUGUUUUUUUUUUUUUUUUGUAAAUUACUAAGCCAAAAGCUUUGCAUAAGCUUCUGCUUCGGUUUUGAAGAUUGUGAAGCUGGAAAUGUUUUUUCCCUUUUUAUAAAUGGAUAAUUGAAAGUUUGAACUUUACCUUCGUACUUUCUUUUUCAUAAAUUGCUCAUGGUGCAGUCUCAUUUUGCUAGUUGAAGAAACAGUUAAGGGGGUCUGUAGUUGGGAAGAAAGAGGAAACGAAAAUGAAAAGAAAAAGCUUAAGUCUCGGUGCGUUCAAGUAGCAUUUUUUCAAUUAAAAAAUUUAAUUCUCAAAACGGCGUCGUUUUCUAAAGUUUCGGGGUUUGACCCGGGAUUUGACCCGGGGUAAAUAGCAGAACUCUUACAAAUUUACAGUUGUCAGAAGCUUGAAAAAGUGUGUAAAAGAGAUCAAAAUUCUUGUCUUGGCUUUCACGUAGGGAUGGCAAAAAUCCCCACGGGGACGGGUACCCUCGGGGAUUUUCCCCAUUCGGGGAGGGUAUGGGGAUAAUUUCAUACCCAAUUUCUUAUUCGGGGAGGGGACGGGGAAAUUUUGUUACCCAAUUUCUUAUUCGGGGAGGGGACGGGGAUGAGGUGGAAUCCCCAUCCCCUACCCAUUUCCCCAUUUUAAUUUUUAAUUUUAUUUUAAUUUUUUAAAAUUACUAGUAAAUAAAUAAUAAAAUUUAAAUUAUAAAAUUAUAAAUAUUGGUAAAAAUAAAAAAUAUCAAAAUAUUUAUAUUAUUAAACUUUUAGGCUUAAUUAACUAAUUAAAGUCCUAAAUUUUUAUUUAGGACAUUAAAAAGACCGAGUAGAUUCUAUUAGCCCAAAAGUUUUUUAUUUUUAAUAUUCUUUAAAUAUUUUAAACUUAAAUCUAUUUUUUAUUUAUUUUUAGAUGUUAUAAUUGCCCACAUCGAAUCACAAUUUUAAUAUCUAAUCUAAUCUAAUCUAAUCUAAUAUUUACUCUUGAUUUGCUCCGAUUUAACUAUUGUGUUGUAAAGGGAAUAGUCCACAUUUAUAAAGUGCCCACGCCACCAUUAAAAAAGUUAAUUUUGAAUCUAAAUUCGAUUUUAUUUGUAACAAUUUUGUAUUAAACUAUUAAUUUGUUCAUGAUAGUUUGUAAAAGAAGUUUGUAUCCCUUGCAUGCUGUGUUACUUACUAAUUUAAUGUAUGUGACUUUUGUAAUGGAUAUUAAUGUAAGAUAUAUUUCAAAUUUUACUUUUAUUUGAAUUUUUUAUUUUAAUAUGAUUAACUCAAAAUCGAAAAAAAAAUAUUAGUUAUUCGGGGAUCGGGGACCCUCGGGGAUCCCCUGUUAUUAUUCGGGGAGGGGAUGGAGAUUCGCUCAAGUAAUUCUGACGGGAACGGGGAGGGGACGGGGACAUACGCAAAAUAUCGGGGAUGGGUACGGAGAGAUUGGUCCCCUCCCCUCCCCUCCCCAUUGCCAUCCCUACUUUCACGGAUAGUUUUUAUCACGUAACCACGUGAGGAAGCAUGUGCUGGAGCCUGAAUUCAGUUAGUUAAAGUUUGUUAACCACGUGUCAACAAACUGUAUAAUCUGGAAAAUAAGCUAGCUAUUGAAACAGGGUAUAAAGGCUGGUUUUUCAGGGACUAUCGAGAGCUGAUUCUAGAGUCUUGUAGAAAGAGGUUUGUGAGAGAGAAAGUGUCAUCUUGUUCUCUGUAAAAUCCGAUAUAGGGCUCUGUAACGAUCUCCAUUGUUGAAUCAAUAAAACUCAUCUAGAAGCUUCUCUCGUGGACGUAUUCUGAGCAAUCAAUGCACAGCUGAACCACGUAAUAUCUUGGUUUCUGUGGGUUCUUGUUUUGGUUCUUGAUAAAUUCUUGUUGUUGUAUUGAGGUGUGAUUUGAUCUGUCUAAACUUGUAUCUGUGCAACUUGAAUUGAUUUGAUGAUAAGAAUCUUGGGCAGUGAUCAGAUUCGUUUAGUUUAAAGAACAAGCUGAUUACUACCGUACCUAUGCAUGGACCUGCAACCUGUGCUGACAAAACUGAAACUGUGAGUUUGAGGUAAAAAGGUCCUGGACCCUCACAGUUUAACUUUGACUUGUUGCUUUCUGGAUAAACAUAUUUUAGAAAUUUGCAAUUUGUUGUUAAUUAUGGUAUGUGAUUUUCUUCUUUGUUUUCGCUUUUGUAGAAUCUACCGUAUUACAUAUUGGCAGUUGUAUCUGAGGUACCUUUUUUGCAUUUAACUUGCCUUUAUCUGUUUUGCCUGUUACUUAACAACACAAACACAUCAUUUCCCAAACAUUUGGAGAAGCAUCUCAAGAUGCUUAACAAACUUGACAAACUUCAAGAUGCUCCCAAGCCUUGAUUCUUCACAAUGGAAGACCUGUGAGUACACUUAUGCCCGCAAUUAUUGUGAAGUGAUUGCAACUUUGAUGCAGCGAAAUGGUUUGCUGAUGCAAAGCUUUAAAACUGUUAAGAAUUACCCUGCAGGCUUGUUGGAUGUUGUAUACUCCAAAAGCCACCAACACCAAGAACUAUAACAGCAAGACUAGGUUUGCAUUAAUUCAAUUAGCUGAAAUAAUGAUGCAAAUGGCACUAUCCAGCUCGACUUAGAGACUAGUCAGGUCAAUCAUCCAUUUCAUCAACAGUUAAUGUCAGGAUGGUGGCUAGCAGAGGAAACAAAGGAUAUGUUGGAAUCAAUAAGAACAGUGAGAAGCAUGAGAGGAGCUUUGAUUAUAAGUAGGCUCAAUGAACUAGUGUUGGUAAGUGGUAAUUAGAGCAAUUUGUGAGCUUAGUAGAGUUUCAAUAUUUUCUGUUUGGGAUAUAGUUGAUAAGUUGAUACUCUGAUUAAGAAGGCUGAUUAUAGUAGCUGACUAUAUUAACCGGGUUCUCUUUUUUGGUUUGCUGUUGUUUUUUCUUUCAAUAUCUUUUUCAACAUUAGGUUUAGCUGUUGAAGAACAAGCUUGGGUUUGAUUAUCAGGUAAGAACAAAUGAAUGCUUUAACCAUGUUUCUCACUUAUCACAAUGCACGGAUUGAAGGCGUCUGAGUUGAUCCUGAAAAUUUGAUGGAAACACUUCUCUGUUUUCAUAAAACAGGACAACCAGAAAUAUCUGAUCAUGCCUGAGAAUUCGUCGCAUUGAAAUUUUCUACCAUUGCCAAACAUAGAAUAAACCAGGGAUACAUUAGCUUAAGACUCAAUUUUGAGAAGGAAGUUUGUACUUGCAGACUAUAAAAUCAUGUCUACCUUGUAUGUUUCUGUGGGGAAUGAAAGAUUCUGUGUGUUCUUUUACUUCGGGUUUGCUGAAAUCACAUUUGUUUUCUCAGAUGCUUUCCGGAAGGUAACAACGUCAAUUUCAAAAAUGUUGGGGUAAGAUGCAUCAUGCAGUGCUGCUCAACAUGAGAAUUCCUGGCCGCAUUACCCGUAUGUGGAAUGAUCUCACACUACAACCUUGAGAAGGUUGUAAGGAGUACACAACUAGAUGCGAGUAGUUUCAAAAUGAAUUCACAUGGAAUUAUAUGUUGCCGCUUAUUACUAUCACGUCUAUCCGAAAAUUCUUGGAAUUUGUCACCGGCAUUGAAGGAUUGUAUACGUGAAGACAUAGCUGAUGGCCUUGCGAAAGCUCCAUCAGCACUUAUAUCGGAAACAGCUGGUUGUAGUUGCUCCUGAGUGAUAUGAUUAAUAGAUACUGUAAAAAUGAACUGUGCCACUCAUAUCGAAAACCAGCUGUUAUGAUGUGUUGGUAAUGUGUUUGAUGCUUGUUUGAUUUAUGUUGUAUUCGGCUAUAAAUCAAAGAUCAGAACAUGGGUGUGUUACUGGUUUCCAAAUCAAAAAAUGCCUUGUGAUGUUAGUGUUCACUGUUUUCACAGGAGACCAGGUUCCUUGUUAAUGAGUCAAGAAGAAGACAAGUGAAUCCAUGUCUGAGUUCAAAUGUGUCUUUUCUAUUUCUUUUACCGACACAUUUAUUUUGAUUUCUUUGACUAGAUGACUAAAGAGUAAAGAUAGAAGAAAUCAAAACAAAUGAGUCAGGUCCCACCUGGCCCAUUGGCCCAUCUCUCUUCCAGCCCAAAUCACUCUCAUUCGCUAUUUUGCCACCUUCAUUUCACUGCCCUCAUAGCUCCCCGUUCUCACGGUGGCUGCCAUCUUUCUGCUCACGCAUCUUUCAAAUUUCAAACCUAACAGCAUUCUGUUGCUCUGUCGUGGGUACUUCAACUUCUGUCACCUUCGGUAAGCUUAUCUCUGCCCCUCUGUGGCUGUCUCUCUCUUUACAAUGUUGUUUCUUAUUCAAUUUACAGAAUUGAAUUCACUGUUCAGUUUAUGGGUUAGAUUUUUAUUCAAAAUAAUAUUAAACCCACCUCAGAUUUUAUCCCGUAGUAUGUAAAGUUCAUGUAAAGUUUCCACCUUUACGACCGUCCGAUGUUUAAAGUUCUAAUUUUGUUCCGGGGUUUUAUCAGUGUAUUUAGAAAUUAUGUCCAUUGUUUUUAUGAAAAUGGAACUAUUUUCAUUUGUUUAUUUCUCUAUGGAUGAGAAAACCGGUCUUUAAGCUUUAUAAUCUUUAUUUGAUUAUUAGAUUUCUCUUUUGUUAUUCAGAUGAGUUCAGUUUUCCAAUUCUGUGCAAUUGUUUUGUUGCAUUUUUCAAUUUUAUCUUUUUCCAAUGCGACGUUUAUGUUUGUAUUUUCUUAAAAGUGGACAUGAAUUUUGAUUUGUUGUUGCUUUGUUGUGAUUGAGUAGCCAAUUUUAAGUCCAUAUUAAACUUUCUCAAUUAUUAGUUGAAUUAUUUGGAUUUGAAAUUUUAAGUUCUUAAAACCGCCAUUUUAACUUGUUUGUUAAUGGCUCUGUUGAGCUUCAACAUUUGUUUUCAAGAACAAAAUUGAUGGAACUAUAAACCUUCGUUUCUCACAUGCGGGCAACAUGUUAUGUUAGACAGAGUGAAAUCGACAGAAGAAACCAAAACAUUGGAAACAGAGACACAGAGAGAGAUCAGCAGAAAUGGCUUGGUGCAGAGUACGCUCAGCUUCAUCGACACUCUUCAUUAGGCUUCUCUGCCCUUUCAUUCUCAACAAUAACACUACUUAACGCUAUCAGUCCUGUGGUACUCUUGUUUCUAUACUUGUGGAAUCUCUUUUUUAAUCCUCAAAGUUUGAAUUAAAUUAUAUUGCCUCUGUAUUUCUGCAGAAACGGAAUCAGUUGGUGAUGACAUUAAUUCUCAAGUUGGAAGUUGCAUGCCACUUUCUUGUAUGCAUGUUGGGACCAUCAUCAACAACAUUGAGGUAAACUCAGCCAAGAUUUUGAAAAAGAAUCCACUUCAAGGUACUGCUUAGUUUCUGGAAAUGAGAAAUUGAUUGACACUAGACGUCAACCCACCAUUGAUACAGCGUCUAACCCCAGCCAUGAAGCUAAGAUGCUUAGGAAGGCUGGUCAGAGCCAUUGGUUGGGCCAAAGACCUGUGAUUAGAGGAGUACCCAUGAAUCCAGUUGAUCAUCCUCGUGGUCGAGGUGAGGGACAAGGCAAAAGUAGUGGUAAGCAUGGAAGGUGUUCACUUACACCUUGGGGCAAGCCUUGUAAGUGGUGUAAAACUGCAUCUCGUAAGAAGAAAAGGAAAUUUAGCCGUCUGAUAAUAUUGUCCUUCUGUGCUAUUUAGCCUUUUUAAUAUUGUUACAUUGUUUGUUAUAUCUUUGAUGUUAGUUUUGGACCAGCUUUUAACUGAUCCAUAAUGAAACUGAAGUUUAAUUUUCGAUUGAACUUUUACUGGUUUUACUCCUGUCAUUUCAAUUUAGCUUUGAUUUAAGAUGCUGAAUUCUGUGAUUGGAGUAUGUAGAUUGGAAAGAGAGAUAUUAUGGGAUAGAAUAUAGAUUUUGUGUUUUGGUUUCUCAUGUUUAGAGAUAUUCUGUUCUUUUUCAUUUAUUCAAUUUGGUUAGUGGUGAUCUCUUAAAGAGUUAAUGCAUGUGUGUUUAUGUACUUUUCUUUUGGCCUUGAUUCUAUUUCUUGGGGAGUUUAUACAGAUUCCUCUUUUAUGCUUCACAUGCCACAUGCCACAUGAAAGAUGAAAGCCUUUUGUGUGAUUAGAAUUGACUUGCAUCAUAGUAACUUUGAACCACUGUAACAUUUUUAUAAUAGCAGUCUGCGAUCUCCUUGAAGGAUUCAAAGCAUUUUUUUUGUUAGUCUUGGCUUGCAUUAAAAUCCUUUAUACCGAUUGGUUGGUCUCCUUUAAAGCAAUUCCUGUUUUAAGUAAUCAAAAUCUUGAUUCGGAAGUGUGUUUUAGCACUACUAAAGGUUCUUUUAAAUACUAAAUUGAUUGUGAGUCUUCUAUAUCAUCUGAUUGAAAUACAUGAAAGCGAUAUUGGCUACAAAAGUACACUUGGGGUUGUUUAUAAAGUCUUCAACAGGAUUUUUUUUUCCCCUUCCUCAUGGUUUAUUUUUUAGUUGUUGUUUAACAAAACACUUAAAAGGUUCUCUUUAUAGGUUUCUGAAAAUAAUUUUAACAUAACCAUUUUUCAGAAGCACUUUAGAUACCUGUGGCAUUUAGAAAAUUUUGUUCCAGCAUUCACAUAAUAUACAUAGAAAUUUGAAUUUAUUUAAUUAUGAGCAUGUGCUAGUGCCUAUUGGCAUCCACUUGUAUAUACAAAUGUAUUAUACAAUACAAUAUUAGCUUGACUGUAGCAUAGAGGAGAAUAGGGUCGGAAUUGGUCUGAAUUCUGAUCUUUGAAUAAAUAUAAUAGCUGAUUGAAGCUGCUCAUGUGACUCCAUUGUCAGCAGCUUACACAAGGUCUUUUAGCUUUUUAAAAAGUUUUGUGAUAUUUCAUAGUUCACAUGGAUUGCUACAGUAUAGAAUACCCAAUUAGGGCAUUUUUAAUUCCUAUGCAUAGGAGUCUUCCUUCAUGCGCACGCGCGUACACACAUAUAUUUCCCACUUCCGUUCACUCCAAAAGUGAAAAUUGCGGGCAAUUUUUAUCUUCAGUAAAAUUGGAGUAGAUGUUGUUCUUAUUGGCGCAAAUUUGCGUACCAUGUUUGUGGGACCCUUAACCUUGCGCCUUUGUUACAAUCAUAUGCAUUCAGGCUUUUGGUAGACCCUUGGAUAGUAUGAUCAGUGUAUUAGAAUUUAGAAUUCGUGUUUAUAAGGGUCAGUUUGGUAAUGUUAUAAUUUUUAAAAUAAUUACUGUUAGCUAUACUAUAGAAAUAAUCAGUUGUGAAUAAAAUCAGUUAAACAGUUGAUAAAUUUUGUUUUUAAGGUGUUGUGAGUUUUAAACAAUUUGUAUGUAUUUAGUAAAUCUCGCUUUUAAAGUAUUAUAAGAAUGCAAAGACUUAAAUAGAUAGAAAUCUAUAAAAUUUAUUUACAUGUGCAUUUAUACAAUAAUAUUUUAUGCAUGUAUAUAAUAAUUAAUAACAGAAAUAAAUAUUUUUAUUUUAUUAAUUAUAUAUUUUUCUUAUUAUCUCAAUAUAAUUGGUAAUAAUAAUCUUUUUAAUAGUACAUUUAUUAAUCAGUAAUCGAAAUGGGCUGGAAUCGGAAUGGGGAAUGAAAAUCAUAAUAAUUUGUUUACUUUAGCUGUAGGAAUCAAAAUCACAUGGAGCUAUAUUAUCAUUAAUAUAUUUAUUUUGUCUUGGAAUCGAAAUAGAUUGUUACAAAUUACUAAACUGAUUUUAUUAUUAUCAAUAUUAUUAUUAAACAAGGUAAAGGGAAUUUUUAAUUUUCACUAGGUGUAGAAAUGUCGAUUCACUUCUCAUUCUCAUUCUCUGUUCUCAUUCCCCCUCCUCAUAGGAUUACCAUUUCACAUUCUCAAAAAUUUAUAAUUGACUCACAUUUCAUUCUCAUUCCUCCUUAUUUUGGAAGUAAAUAAGUUAAAGAAUCAUAUUCCUUUAUUCUUGUUUUUCAUUCACAUUCCUUCUCCUUAUUUUGGAAGUAAAUAACUUAAAGAAUCAUAUUCCCUUAUUCUUGUUCUCGUUCUCGUUCUCAUUCUCAAUUAGUAAGCACACUACAAAUGCAAUGAUUUUGUUUCCUAAUUAAACAAGGAUAAUUUUUAGAUUUUUAUAAUAUAUGUUAAGAUAUAUGUAGAAUUGUAUUAAAUAUGAAACUGACUCCCAAAAUCAUAUUUUAAAAAACUAUUUUUUUCUUAUUUUUUGAAAUUUAUUGUAGGCUAGGGUGAUUUUAUCAAAGUAAUUUUUUUAAAAAUUUUCGGACCCAUUUGGGAUUGUUUUUGGAAGACUCAAAAAGGAUUUUGAAUAGCUAAAAUCUAAGUUUGGUGUUUUAUAAUUUUUUUUUAAAAAAAUUACUUCUGAUAAAAUUAUCUUAUCCACGUUAAAUUUUAAAAAGAAAGGAAAAAGUAAUUUUUUAAAAUCUGAUUUUAAGAAUCAUUUUUAUACUUAAUACAAUUUCAUAAAUAUCCUGAUAUAUAUCAUAAAAAUUCAAAAUUAUCUUUAUUAGUUAGGAAAUAAAAUCAAUAAUUUUAAAAAGAUUAUUAUUAUUUCUAAUUAUAUUGAGCUAACAAAAAGAAAUAAAAUUACUAAUAUAAAAUUUAUUUUAACUAUUAAUUAUUAUAUUUACCAAUAAAAAACAUUUUAUAUACACGUUUAUAAAUAUUUAAAUAAAAUUUAUUCAUGUCGAGUUCAACCAUUUAUAUUAUUACAGCAAUUUAACAACUGGUUGUCGUUGCUCGGGAAUUAUAGAAUUACCAUAUGUUGUAAAAAUGCACUAAGCCAUGCCAUGUGUUUGAUACAGGUUAUGCUUGUUCGAUUAAAUUGUACUCACCUAUAAAUCAAAGAUUCAGUACAUGUGCAUGUUAGUGGUCUUCAGAAUCCAGAAUAAUAAAUGCCUUGAAAUGCUUGAGUUCAAUGAUUUCGCAGAAGACCAAGUUCCUUGUUAAUGAGUCAGCAUGACUGAAUCCUUCACUAAGCCAAAUUUGUUUUCACUUUUAGUUUAGAAAUUGUCAUUAAUUAAGAAAGUGUUUGAUAAAAUGCUUUGGAAGGCACUGUUCGUUGGACGUUUGCCCAGAAUUUAUGAAAUCAUUGGUGUUUCAUCCUACUUGUAACACUCUUCUUUAUUUUCUAUUCUAACGAAGAAAUCUUUUAUUAGAAAAGUGACAAGAUUGCACCUUUCAUUUGUAUGUUAAGGAGGUGUAAAAUUUUCUCGUUAAAAUCCCAUCAUGAAAAAAACUCACGGGCAAAAACCUACUGCAAAUUAAAGAAAGAAGAGUAAAUCAUGAUAAAUACACUCUCUUUUACAAUGCAAGCGGAUGCUUCAAUGAGUGGAUCAUGCGCCAAACUUGUAUAUCGUUGUUGGUAGUGCUUUGUUGAAUCAAUAUGAUAGAUUUUCACUUUUCUUUUUUUUCUUUUCUUUUUUUUUUCCUUGUGGAUACGAAAAUGAUUUGGGUUAAACUAUACUUAAUGCCGGUUUGGUACGACUUCUCUACUAAUUAAAAGAGUUUUUUUUCUUAAAUGUUCAAAAAGAUUUUUUAUUAUAAAUUGUAAUUUGAGUGGAUUUCUUGGGAUUAAACAAGUUACAUUUUUGUCUCUAUAAAGAAGUUCAAGUUAUAGAUUUUGGCAAUAGAGAUGUAGAGGUUUUUUUUUUUUCAGAGAACUAAAUUGUGGAGACUAUCUUUAUUUGGUUAUACAACUUUUUUUUUUUUAAUUUCAUAACAUAAUUUUAAAAGACUUAUUUAAUAAAUUUGAUAUUUUUUUGUAAAAAUUAUCAUUCACGUCCAAACUACUGAAGAUUUUUUUGUUAAACGCACUACUUAAAAGUUAUAUUAAUUAUAAACUUUCUAAAAAAAAAAAACAAUUCAAAGAGUUAUAGCAAACAAAGUGCUAGUUAACUUCAGUCGAUAAUAAUCUUCUAAUCCGUCCUACAAAUGACUUUCGACAAGAGUGGUGCUACUCACAUCUCUUCAAAACCCAUUUGACACCCCGUUUUCUUUAUUUAAAAUUUUAUACAUUUGAAAAUUAUUUUUUCUUUUACUUGACACUCUUCAAAUUCUAAAACUAAGCUUCAAAGAACCUUCGUCAUUAAAUCUCAUUGCCUUCCUUUAUUCUUGUUACUUGAGAAGAAGAAUGAGAGUCUGGAAGAAUGAAAGAAAAUUCAGCGAGAUAGAAAUCUAGUAAUUUCAUACCAUGAUUCAGAAUUUUUUUUUUCUCAAAAGAAUCUACUAUUCUUCUAUAUUUUAUAUAAAAAAAAGAGGAAAAGAGGAAACUGAGAGACUCUUUGUUUAAUGCUUGAAAGUUAGAAAGAAAAGGUCAGGAAGCUGCCUGGUAAUGAGAGUGAUGCAUCAGCACUAAUUUCUAUCUCGAUAGCUACCAAUUACCACCCCUAGAAAGGCUGUUGAUCAACAAGCCAUAUCUACUGGUUUCCUUUCUUUAAAAGUUCUAAUGGUCCCCUUAAAAAUCUCUAUAUGCUCAGUCUUCUCAUGAUAUAUCUGAUUUUCGCUGAGAAUUAUAGCAAGCGCUUCAGAUAUCAUAAUACUUUGUGACUGACUACUGUGCAUGCUUAAUUAUAAGAUUAUUCCUUGUGGCCAAAUAAAAUGACCCCCUUUAGAGCCUCUGUAUUUGAAAAAGCAAGACAAUGAGCUUAAUUAUUGUCAAGGUCUCCAGUAGGAUACUCCUAAAUCCAUAUACCCACCCACCAGAACUCCAAUCUUGAAACUUAUAGAUCAAACCAUAACUUAAUGUGCCUGGCAACCAGGGAUAUGUCAGGCCUUUAAAAAACCACUACAUACAUUUGAGUCUGAAAUUGCUCCAAUUAGUAUUAUGAUUAUUAUUUUAAAAAACUCAACCUAAGCAAAGUGCCUCAGCAUACAAUAUUUAUUGACAACUAAAAAGUAAUAGUGGGUGGGGGUUGCCCUGGGUUUUGUUUAAAAAUUGAAGUAAAAAAUUUUCAAAUUUCAAAUUUCUAGUACAAAGAAAAUUGAUGACUAAAUUAAAUUCUGCAAAUUAAUUUCUAAUAUUACAUGAAAAUAUAUCAAGUUAAUUGGUAACAUUGUUAAUCACUUAAUCCUCAAUCUAAUACGUUAUGUAUUUGUUACUCUGUCUUAAAUCAAAAGUGGCGGUGAUUUAUUUUUAUUUUCACUAAUAAGAAAGGCAUGUUAGAGCUUUUAUUUUGUUGAAAAUGAACCAAAAAACUCCGAUUGGGAGAUUAUAAAUGUAUUUAACAAUAAUUUAACUUCCAUUUUGAAAGUCAUUAUAUUGUUUAUUCAGGAGAAGCGUUCUUUUAUAUUUUAUAGAUAUAAUGUUUGCUAAUCCUAAUUUAAGCUAAAGCAUAUGCAUUUCCUAAUUAAUUCUAAUUUAAGCUUAUUCAACUGCAUUCAAUUAAUGUUCGAUAAUACAAAUUCUAAAUACUAUAUACUCUAAGAAUUUUAAUCGUAAUGACAAGGUGAUCAUUUAAUUAUUACCGUUAAAUUAUAUAUGUAUGGUGGAGACGAGUCCACACGGUUUUGACGAGAAAUUAAAGACAAUAUUUAGUUAAGCUAGUAGUAUUUGUUCUGUUUAGUACGUCGUUUUACCAGCAAGCAUCCCGGCAAUGCACGCAUUAAUAAAAAAAUUUAUCUGUUUGGACUGAUUGGUAGUGAAAAAUUCCACAUACUUUAAAUUAAGAAAAUGCUAAGUAUCUUAAAGAAAACAAUUAAAAUAUUGUCACUUGAUGCUUGAAUCAUUAUUGUUAAAUAUCUCCGUUGAGUUGUAUUCCCCAGCUGUGAGUAUCAUUAUUGUCUUUGCUAUCUAAUCAAUUCAAUUUUCUUUCUGGAGACAAGAUUUUGAUUCCUUUCAUCGUUACAAAAACGGAACCAUGGUUGAUGUGGGAGAGAUCUUACUCAACGCCUUCUUUCAGGUGUUGUUCGACAGGUUGGCUUCCCGUGAUUUGCUCAGCUUUGUCCGUCAACUUGGAGGGGGGGUCGAUUCCGAGCUCAAGAAGUGGGAAAGAAAGCUGAAGAUGAUUCAGGCGGUGCUCAACGAUGCAGAGGAGAAGCAACUGACUGAUGAGGCUGUGAAGAUGUGGCUGGACGAUCUCCAAGACUUGGCUUAUGACGCUGAGGACAUUCUUGAUGAGUUUGCUACUCAAGCUUUGGAAAGCAAGUUGAUGGAGCAAAAUCAGGAUAGCUCUGGCCAGGUUCUCAGUUUCAUCCCGGCUAGUUUGAAUCCGAAUGCUAUUAUGUUCAAUUAUAGCAUGGGGUCCAAGAUUAAAGAUAUUACUAGCCGGCUGGAGCAACUCUGCCAAGAAAGAAUUGAACUUGGACUGCAGCGGAUUACUGGAGGGGCAUCAUCAACUGCUGCUGCUACACAGCAGAGGCCGCCCAGUUCGAGUGUCCCAACAGAACGUGAAGUAUUUGGAAGAGCAAAAGAUAAGGCCAAAAUUCUUGAUAUGGUAUUGGCCGAUACCCCAAGUGAUCAUGCCGACUUUGUUGUAAUACCCAUUGUUGGCAUGGGCGGGAUAGGAAAAACAACUCUCGCUCGGGAGGUUUACAAUGACAAGGCCGUUGGCGGUUCCAAGUUUGAUGUAAAAGCAUGGGUUUGCGUAUCUGACGUCUUUGAUGUUUUGGGCAUCUCAAAGGCACUUCUCGAGUCAAUCACCCGCAGGCCAUGUCUUCUAAACAGUUUAAAUGAAGUGCAGGUUGAAUUGAAAGUAGCUGUGGAUAAAAAAAGAUUCUUGCUGGUCUUAGAUGAUGUUUGGAACGAGGAGUACAGCUUGUGGGUAGACUUAAAAGCUCCGUUCCUGGUUGCUGCACCAAACAGUAAGAUGAUCGUCACCACACGCAAUUCAAAUGUUGCAUCAACAAUGGGGCCAGUUGAACAUUACAAUCUCAGGAGUCUAUCGGAUGAUGAUUGCUGGUCCAUUUUCAUAAAGCAUGCAUUUGAAUCUAGAGAUCUUAACGCACAUCAAAUUUCAGAAUCAUUCCGCAAGAAAGUUGUUGCCAAGUGUGGAGGCUUGGCCCUGGCAGCAAAAACACUCGGAGGCCUUCUGCGUACGACGAGGCAUGAUGCGUGGGAUGAUAUAUUAGAGAGCAAAAUAUGGGAUUUACCACGACAAAGUGGGGUUCUCCCAGUAUUAAGAUUGAGUUACCAUCAUCUUCCUUCUCAUUUGAAAAUGUGUUUUGCUUUCUGUGCAAUCUUUCCAAAAGAUUAUGAAUUCAAAGAGAAGGAGCUGACUUUUUUAUGGAUGGCCGGAGGAAUUAUUCGACAGUCAAGAAGCAAAGAGCGGCUAGAAGAUUUGGGCAGCAAGUGCUUCCAUGAUCUGGUGUCAAGGUCAAUUUUUCAGAAAUCAGCAAUCUCUGCUAGUUCUAAAUUUGUAAUCCAUGACCUUAUCCAUGAUCUUGCUGAAUUGGUCUCUGGAGAAACCAUAUUUAGGUUAGAGGAGGCCAAUACUCUGUCAAGAAGAUUUGAAAGGGUUCGCCAUUCCUCCUAUGCUUGUGGUGGAUAUGAUGGUAAAAAUAUGUUCGAUGUUUUCAAUGAAAUUGAACAUCUACGAACAUUCUUGCCAUUACGCUUACGCAUAAGAGGUGGCUUUAGUUCUGGUUACAUAAGUCGAACGGUCCUAUCUGACUUGCUGCCAAAGUUCAAAAGGUUGAGAAUGCUAUCUUUAGAAGGAUACUGUAUUGGCGAGUUACCAAUUCCAUUUGAAGAUUUGAGACUUUUAAGGUUUCUCAACCUUGCUGACACUGACAUAAGAAGUUUACCCGAGUCAACAUGCAAAUUGCUGAACUUGGAAAUUUUUAUAUUAAGAAAUUGUUCCCGUUUGAUAAAGCUUCCAGCCAAAAUGAGGAAUUUGAUCAAUUUACGCCAUCUGGAUAUAAGAGGUGCGAAGUUGCUGAAGGAGAUGCCAGUCGGAAUGAAAGAGCUGAAGAAGCUUCAAACAUUGUACAAUUUCAUUGUGGGCAAGGGUGAAACUGCAUCCGGUUUGGAAGAAUUAAAAAGUUUAAACUUUCUUUGUGAUGAACUUUGCAUUGCUGGAUUAGAGAAUGUGAAUAAUCCACAGAAUGCAAGAGAAGCGGCAUUAUGCGAGAAGCACAAUCUUGAAGCACUGACUCUAGAUUGGGGGUCUCAAUUUGACAAUUCUCGAGAUGGAGUAGUAGAAGAGCAUGUACUGGAAAUUCUACAGCCUCAUAAACGUAUAAAAAAGGUGGCAAUCAGGAACUAUAGAGGUGCAAGAUUUCCACAUUGGAUAGGAGAUCCUUUGUUCUCCAAAAUAGAGUUCCUUGAAUUGGAGAACUGUGACAAUUGUGUAUCUUUGCCAUCGCUUGGCCGUUUGAGUUCACUUAAACACCUUGCUGUUAAAGGGCUGAAGAAACUAAAAAGCAUAGAGUCUAAGGUUUAUGGGGAGGGUUUCUCAAUGCCUUUUCCAUCAUUGGAGAUUCUAAGUUUCGAGAAUUUGCCAGAAUGGGAGCAUUGGGACACCGAUAUCAAAGGAAAUGUACUUGUUGAAAUAUUUCCUCGUCUCCAUAAACUUUCCAUUGUGGAAUGUCCCAAACUCUCCGGAGAACUGCCUGAUCUCCUGCCCUCCUUGGAGACACUUGUUGUUAGUAAAUGUGAAAAGUUGGUAGUUCCAUUGUCUUGCUAUCCGAUGCUCUGCAGAUUAGAAGUUGAUGAGUGCAAGGAACUAGCGUGCGCGACUCCAAUUGAUUUUAAGUUGAUAAAGUCUGUGACUAUUUCAAAUUGUUCACUAGACAUGUAUGGAUGCAAGGGGAUGCUAUACAAUGGUCCAGCUGGCUCUUCACUGCCGAAAUCCAUGACUAUUACAAAUGUUUUGGCGUUUGGAAAAUUAUUGAAGCCUGAAUUUCAGAUAUUAGAAACUUUGGUAAUUGACAAUUCUGAACAGCUCAUGUCAUGGAGGCAGCGUGGGAAUUUCCGAGAAGAAUAUUUGGCCGUUCGCCGAAGGCUUAUCAAACCAUUACAAGGGCUAAAUAUGCUCGCUUCCCCAGAAGAGGUAACAAUUGAAGAAAGUUGUGUGAGUUUUGUUUUAUUUUCAGAGAUCAAUUUCUUUCCCAGAAAUCUGCGCUCUCUUCUAAUUUGCAGCAGCACAGCUUUAAAAUCCUUACCCGAUGAAAUGAUGGACAACAGUUCACAACUCAAAAGGUUGUAUAUCAGAGAUUGCGAUUCUCUAACAUUCAUCACAAGACGCAAGCUACCUUCAUCUCUAAAAAGUAUAGAGAUUCAGAAUUGUGAGAAACUGCGACAUUUGUUCGAUGAUAAAGAGGAUGCUUCUUCUUCUUCUCCUCCUUCAUCCUCGCCCUCCCCAGUGAUGCUGAAACACCUGAGUAUAAAUAAUUGCCCAGAGCUCACCAGUUUAUCAACAGGAAUCCAAUUACUUGAGGCGCUUGAACACCUCGACAUACGGGAUUGUCGAAAGCUGGAGUCAUUACCAGAUGGCCUUCACAAUCUUAACUGUUUACAGGAGAUUACUCUAAACAGUUGUCCAAGUCUUCUUAGAGGGCUUCCCAACACGAUUUCAAGGGUUGACAUUUACAGCUGUCCAAGUCUUGUUUCCUUCCCAGAAAGAGGACUUCCCAACACGAUUUCAAAGGUUGACAUUUUUAAUUGUGAGAAGCUCGAAGCCCUGCCCAAUGACAUGCACAAACUCAACUCUCUUCGAGAUUUAAGCAUAUUGGGGUGUCGAAAUCUUGUAUCCUUUCCAGAAGAAGGUUUUCCUACCAGUCUAACAUCACUUAGAAUUGGAGAUUUCAAAAUGUAUAAGACACUCAUCCAGUGGGGGUUGCACAGGCUUACCUCUCUUAGACGCCUCUAUAUCGUUGAUUGUGAUGACGAAGCAGAGUGUUUUCCAGACGAGGAGAUAGGAACGAUGCUGCCUACCUCCCUAACUCAUCUAUCCUUUCGGGGAUUCCGAAAUUUGAUAUCUCUGUCUUCGACGGGUUUUCAGAGCCUCAACUCUCUUCAAUACUUGUGGAUCAGGGAUUGCCCGAAUCUCACAUCAUUCCCAGAGGUGGGCCUUCCAUCCUCACUUUUGGCAUUAUGCAUUAUCGAUUGUCCAAAGCUUAAAAAAGCGUGCAAAAGAGAUCAAGGAAAAGAGUGGUCCAAAAUUGCUCACAUCCCUCGCAUUGACAUAGACAGGAAAUUCAUAUACGAUCCAGAAUCAGAGGAGUAGAUUCUACUAUUAAGGUCAGUUGAUUUGUAUUAUCCGCCAUAACAAGCUCCUCCUUUUUUUUUAAAUAAUAAUAAUAAUUCUUACCAAUUAAUGAUGGUAAGAUGUGUACUUAUUCUUUCUUCCGGACAACCUUGCCUUCUUUCUUCGGUAGCAUAUCUAAUGAAUAUUUCUCUGUUUAGUUAAGGAUGAAUGCUUGGAGUGGAGUAUUUGGUAACAUUUCUGCCGUAGAUGAAACCUUGAAGAAAUGCCUGCACUUCCUGAGACCAAAUACAGGUCUGAUUCACAACAACACCUGUCCCAGAAAAUAUGAUACAAGCCAAAGCCAUGUUCUGAAGCAGAAAUAACGCAUUUCAAUUUUUAUCUGGUAAAAAUACACAGCCCUCGCCUACAAAAUUCUUAUCUUGGCUUUCACGGAUAUUUUUAUCACGUAACCACGUGAGGAAGCAUGUGCUGGAGCCUGAAUUCAGUUAGUUAAAGUUUGUUAACCACGUGUCAACAAACUGUAUAAUCUGGAAAAUACGCUAGCUAUUGAAACAGGGUAUAAAGGCUGGUUUUUCAGGGACUAUCGAGAGCUGAUUCUAGAGUCUUGUAGAAAGAGGUUUGUGAGAGAGAAAGUGUCAUCUUGUUCUCUGUAAAAUCCGAUAUAGGGCUCUGUAACGAUCUCCAUUGUUGAAUCAAUAAAACUCAUCUAGAAGCUUCUCCCGUGGACGUAUUCUGAGCAUUCAAUGCACAGCUGAACCACGUAAUAUCUUGGUUUCAGUGGGUUCUUGUUUUGGUUCUUGAUAAAUUCUUGUUGUUGUAUUGAGGUGUGAUUUGAUGUGUCUAAACUUGCAUCUGUGCAACUUGAAUUGAUUUGAUGAUAAUAAUCUUGGGCAGUGAUCAGAUUCGUUUAGUUUAAAGAACAAGCUGAUUACUACCGUACCUAUGCAUGGACCUGUAACCUGUGCUGACAAAACUGAAACUAUGAGUUUGAGGUAAAAAGGUCCUGGACCCUCACAGUUUAACUUGGACUUGUAGCUUUCUGGAUAAACACAUUUUAGAAGUUUGCAAUUUGUUGUUAAUUACGGUAUGUGAUUUUCUUUUUUGUUUUCGCUUUUGUAGAAUCUACCGUAUUACAUAUUGGCAGUUGUAUCUGAGGUACCAUUUUUGCAUUUAACUUGCCUUUAUCUGUUUUGCCUGUUACUUAACAACACAUCAUUUCCCAAAGAUUUGGAGAAGCAUCUCAAGAUGCUUAACAAACUUGACAAACUUCAAGAUGCUCCCAAGCCUUGAUUCUUCACAAAGGAAGACCUGUGAGUACACUUAUGCCCGCAAUUAUUGUGAAGUGAUUGCAACUUUGAUGCAGCGAAACGGUUUGCUGGUGCAAAGCUUUAAAACUGUUAAGAAUUACCCUGCAGGCUUGUUGGAUGUUGUAUACUCCGAAAGCCACCAACACCAAGAACUAUAACAGCAAGACUAGGUUUGCAUUAAUUCAAUUAGCUGAAAUAAUGAUGCAAAUGGCACUAUCCAGCUCGACUUAGAGACUAGUCAGGUCAAUCAUCCAUUUCAUCAACAGUUAAUGUCAGGAUGGUGGCUAGCAGAGGAAACAAAGGAUAUGUUGGAAUCAAUAAGAACAGUGAGAAGCAUGAGAGGAGCUUUGAUUAUAAGUAGGCUCAAUGAACUAGUGUUGGUAAGUGGUAAUUAGAGCAAUUUGUGAGCUUAGUAGAGUUUCAAUAUUUUCUGUUUGGGAUAUAGUUGAUAAGUUGAUACUCUGAUAAAGAAGGCUGAUUAUAGUAGCUGACUAUAUUAACCGGGUUCUCU
rnacentral:lncRNA from 1 species